GUAAAGUCCACAGGGAAGACUGGAGGGCGAGAAAAAUUGAACUGUCCUGUCUCGUGACAUUCUGUCAUGGUGUCCCCAGAUGGGCCUAGUACACAAAAGACGUUCAUGAUUUCACAACACCUCUGAGAGAAAUACACCUGCCAUUUGUGUGACAACAAACUAACCCUCCCACUGCCCUUUGCAAGCUUCUUAUCUACAAUCAA